rnacentral:rRNA from 1 species
AUAGCGUAUAUUAAAGUUGUUGCAGUUAAAAAGCUCGUAGUUGAACCUUGGGCCUGGUUGGUCGGUCCGCCUAACCGCGAGCACUGAUUCGACCGGGUCUUUCCUUCUGGCUAGCCACAUGCGCUUCACUGCGUGUGUUGGGGAUCCAGGACUUUUACUUUGAAAAAAUUAGAGUGUUCAAAGCAGGCCUAUGCUCGAAUACAUUAGCAUGGAAUAAUAGAAUAGGACGGAGGUUCUAUUUUGUUGGUUUCUAGAGCCACCGUAAUGAUUAAUAGGGAUAGUCGGGGGCAUCAGUAUUCAAUUGUCAGAGGUGAAAUUCUUGGAUUUAUUGAAGACUAACUACUG